rnacentral:lncRNA from 1 species
UCACUCGAACACAAAGGGAGAGAGAAAAAGGGAAAGCGAUAAGCCACGCCAGCAACAAGGGAAAAACAAACUACAUCAAAGACACAAGGAACCUCACCUCAAUGAGGAAGGAGACUCUUGUCAAAAACCCUCAGUCUCUAAGAGAAAAUCCAGCACUGGCAGGAGAAAAUCGACUUCCUCAAGGUAACGAGAAGUUUGGUUCCCCAAGCUCGAGCAUCGAGAGGAAGCGUCAAACUCGAGUGGCCUCGAAAAGACCUUCGAUC